rnacentral:rRNA from 1 species
GACGAACGCUGGCGGCGUGCCUAAUACAUGCAAGUUGAGCGCUGAAGGUUGGUACUUGUACCAACUGGAUGAGCAGCGAACGGGUGAGUAACGCGUGGGGAAUCUGCCUUUGAGCGGGGGACAACAUUUGGAAACGAAUGCUAAUACCGCAUAAAAACUUUAAACACAAGUUUUAAGAUUGAAAGAUGCAAUUGCAUCACUCAAAGAUGAUCCCGCGUUGUAUUAGCUAGUUUGUGAGGUAAAGGCUCACCAAGGCGAUGAUACAUAGCCGACCUGAGAGGGUGAUCGGCCAACAUGGGAAUGAGAAACGGCCCAAACUCCUACGGGGAGCAGCAGGAGGGAAUCUUCGGGCAUGGGCGAAAGUCUGGCCGAGCAACGCCGCGUGAGUGAAGAAGGGUUUCGGAUCGGAAAACUCUGUUGGUAGGGAAGAACGUUGGUGGGAGUGGAAAGCGCAUCAAGUGACGGUAACUACCCAGAAAGGGACGGCUAACUACGUG